rnacentral:rRNA from 1 species
GACGAACGCUGGCGGCGUGCUUAACACAUGCAAGUCGAACGGAAAGGCCCUGCUUUUGUGGGGUGCUCGAUUGGCGAACGGGUGAGUAACACGUGAGUAACCUGCCCUUGACUUUGGGGUAACUUCAGGAAACUGGGGCUAAUACCGGAUAGGAGCUCCUGCUGCAUGGUGGGGGUUGGAAAGUUUCGGCGGUUGGGGAUGGACUCGCGGCUUAUCAGCUUGUUGGUGGGGUAGUUGCGUACCAAGGCUUUGACGGGUAACCGGCCUGAGAGGGUGACCGGCCACAUUGGGACUGAGAUACGGCCCAGACUCCUACGGGAGGCAGCAGUGGGGAAUAUUGCACAAUGGGCGGAAGCCUGAUGCAGCAACGCCGCGUGCGGGACGCCGGCCUUCGGGUUGUAAACCGCUUUCGCCUGUGACGAAGCGUGCGUGACGGUAAUGGGUAAAGAAGCAACGGCUAACUACGUG